rnacentral:rRNA from 1 species
UACGGAGGGUGCAAGCGUUAUCCGGAUUCACUGGGUUUAAAGGGUGCGUAGGCGGGUUGGUAAGUCCGUGGUGAAAUCUCCAAGCUUAACUUGGAAACUGCCGUGGAUACUAUCAAUCUUGAAUAUCGUGGAGGUAGCGGAAUAUGUCAUGUAGCGGUGAAAUGCUUAGAUAUGACAUAGAACACCAAUUGCGUAGGCAGCUUACUACACGAUCAUUGACGCUGAGGCACGAAAGCGUGGGAGCAAACGG